rnacentral:rRNA from 1 species
UACGUAGGUCCCGAGCGUUGUGCGGAUUUAUUGGGCGUAAAGCGAGCGCAGGUGGUUUAUUAAGUCUGGUGUAAAAGGCAGUGGCUCAACCAUUGUAUGCAUUGGAAACUGGUAGACUUGAGUGCAGGAGAGGAGAGUGGAAUUCCAUGUGUAGCGGUGAAAUGCGUAGAUAUAUGGAGGAACACCGGUGGCGAAAGCGGCUCUCUGGCCUGUAACUGACACUGAGGCUCGAAAGCGUGGGGAGCAAACAGG